CUCCUACGGGAGGCAGCAGUGGGGAAUAUUGCACAAUGGGGGAAACCCUGAUGCAGCGACGCCGCGUGAGUGAAGAAGUAUUUCGGUACGUAAAGCUCUAUCAGCAGGGAAGAAAAAAAGUCCUUUGGACUUUGGACGGUACCUGACCAAGAAGCCCCGGCUAACUACGUGCCAGCAGCCGCGGUAAUACGUAGGGGGCAAGCGUUAUCCGGAUUUACUGGGUGUAAAGGGAGCGUAGACGGCAGAGCAAGUCCGGAGUGAAAGCCCGUGGCCCAACCCCGGGACUGCUCUGGAAACUGUUAAGG
rnacentral:rRNA from 1 species